rnacentral:antisense_RNA from 1 species
AAUAACCGAAAAUCGUCAAAGGAUUCAGCGUCGGAUGCGCCACAACCCGGACGGCGUUCGUGGAGGCGUCGAACAAGCCGCCCCAAAACAGGGCUUUCGCCACCAACAACCAGGCACCGAGACCUAACAAAAUCAGGUGAAUCCCGAGAAUAUUGGUCAUUUUGUCGGCGUCUUUCCA